rnacentral:rRNA from 1 species
UACAGGGGGUGCAAACGUUGCUCGGAAUCACUGGGCUUAAAGGGUUUGUAGGCGGCCACGCAAGUGGGGUGUGAAAUCCCUCGGCUCAACCGAGGAAUUGCGCUCCAAACUGUGUGGCUUGAGGGAGACAGGGGUAAGCGGAACUGAUGGUGGAGCGGUGAAAUGCGUUGAUAUCAUCAGGAACACCGGUGGCGAAAGCGGCUUACUGGGUCUCUUCUGACGCUGAAAACGAAAGCUAGGGUAGCGAACGGG